AAGGGUUCACGAGGUCAAGGCAUGCAGUUGGACGCAAAGAGCAAUUACAAAACUGCUCACAGUUUCUGUUUUUGUGCAACUAUCCUUUGUGAAUGCUCUCAAUGGGACUAACUAUGAUGACUAAAAAGAGUCUCUGAAUAUGUAUCUGAUCAUCUUUGAGAAAGAUUUAGAUCUGAAAGAGCCCAAGCCUGCAGAUUUCUCUUCUGAGUUCAGUGCUUCUAAAAUGGUCUUCCAUAAACAAUGGAGUGAGUCCAAUUGGUUCUAUCUUGCGAUCAUCAAGUACACAAUUGAAAAGGAAAUUAAGGACAGCGUUUCUAAAAAGGAUACUAUAGUGGAAUACUUGAAAGUUGUUGGUAAUAAAUACAAGAAGCUUGACAAGACUCAAAAGAACUACUAUUUAUUACUUCUUGACAAUACUUGAUAUGACAAAGUUUCUGGUGUCAGGGAGCAUAUUUUGAAGCUUGUUCAUUACUACAACAAGCUUAAGUCAUAUGGGAUUGAUUUGGGUGAAAGUACCUUAGUUUACCGUAUUCUUCAAUCACUACCAUCAGAAUACGCAUUCUUGAGGACUUCAUACAACUCACAAGAAACUGAAUAGUUUAUUGACCAGAUGAUGUCAAUAGUUACUUAAGAAGAGGAAGCUAUAAAGAAGAAUUUCUCUCACUCAAUAAACUAUGUUUCUCAUGGCUCUAGUAGCAAAUCUCGAGGGUCGUACAAGAAAAAGGGGAAGAAGCAUGAGGCUCCAAAGCUCAAUAAUCCAACUUUUAAGAAGGAUGGGGGUAAGAGUAAGAAGUUGAGGAAGAAACCCUUUAAAGGGUUAUGCAAUUAUUGCAAGAAACCGGGUCACAUUAAAGCUAAUUGCGUCAAACUAAAGAACAAAUAAGAAAGUGAAGGGGCUAAGAAACCAGAAGGUUCCAAGUGAGGCAUAGAAGUCAGUUUUUGGCAUAGCAGGGAGCAAGGCAUCAGUUGAAUACAUUGGAACUAUUUUUUUGUAUUUAAAUUCUGGUCAUGUUUAAAUUUGAACAAUGUUAUUUAUAUACCUUCUGCGAAGAGGAAUUUAAUUUCAACUUCUGCAUUGAAUAUUUGUGGCUAUUCAUUCU